CCCAGAUAAACCUCAAUGCGUUUGUUUCUUUUGGCGCAGCCACUUCCUUUGUAACUUGGAAGGAAUGAAAGUCACAUCACAUUGCAUUCUGUCUGCCCGUGUGAAUUCAACCCCGUUAGGUGAGCCAAACUUAAACACAUUAAAUUCUACAAAUAACCACUUCUGGAAUUAUUAAGAUAGAAAACAAUGGUGGGUACUAACAGAUUCACUCAGGAGUGGGUAGUUAACGGGUUAAUUCAGGUUAUGUGUAGCUCUAGCUGGGAGAAGAAACAGGGCUUGGAGGAGGCAAGACUGUUCAGCAUGAAUUAGAACUGAUUUAUGAGCUUGCUGUAGCACUUGGAAUAGAAAAACUCUUCAGCGCCUUUGAUCCCUCUCACACUACACCAGGGUUCGAUUGAGAAAACAACAGCGCUGACCACCCGUCCUUCUCGAUCCUUGGGGAAAAAACUUUUUUGGACGGUAGAGUCAGAUGAGGCCGCAUUUUCCACCAGGGAACACUAACUGCUGCGGGAAGAUCCCAGCUUCUGGCUAAAGCUGGGGCGGUAGGAGCUGCCGGCCAGCUCGCCAUCUAGUCCCCAGAGCCCGGGCUUUAGGGCGCCCGGAUGCAAACCAGUUUUGCCGCCAAGGAACCCGGACAGGCGCGCCUCCUCCCCGGCCUCGCAAGGAACAGGUUAAGGAGACAUUUCCCACUUUCUCUGCCCGGCCCUGAACGCUCGCCGCCCCUGCCCAGCCGCCCACUGUCUGGCAGCCUGCAAGUCUCCAUUCAGAAGCGGCUCCGUGCUGCCCAGCGAUGGCGCCCUGGCGGCGCGGAAGCCCGCGGCCAAAUGACACGACUUGGGGGCAAAGGAGGACAACAGUUCCCACCAGGUAGGCACUGGGGGAAGGAGGCCGAUGACCCUGAGAUUCUCCAGCGACCCCGGCGGGCCAUCCCUGGGCGGCGCGCGGGUCCCGCGGCACGUGCGUGGCAGCUCUCGCCGCUUCCCUGGACGCCCGGGAAGGUCACGCCGCCUGGGCGCCGAGGCCCGCCCCGCGCCCCUCUCCCUCCGCCCGGGGCGCUCCGCAGCUGCCGAGGAGCGGAAGUGGGCGCCAGGCCGCGGCGCGCCCAGCCCAGCCCAGCCCAGCCCAGUCGGCGACCCCGCGCAGCGCUGCCUGCAGACCCUGGAGAAGGCGGAGGCCUGCGUCUCCGGGUGCUUUCCUACCUCUGGGCUCCCCGAGACCCUUUCU
rnacentral:lncRNA from 1 species